rnacentral:rRNA from 1 species
UAGGGAAUAUUGCACAAUGGGCGCAAGCCUGAUGCAGCAACGCCGCGUGAGGGAUGACGGCCUUCGGGUUGUAAACCUCUUUUAGCAGGGAAGAAGCGAAAGUGACGGUACCUGCAGAAAAAGCACCGGCUAACUACGUGCCAGCAGCCGCGGUAAUACGUAGGGUGCAAGCGUUGUCCGGAAAUUAUUGGGCGUAAAGAGCUCGUAGGCGGUCUGUCGCGUCUGCUGUGAAAUCCCGAGGCUCAACCUCGGGCCUGCAGUGGGUACGGGCAGACUAGAGUGCGGUAGGGGAGAAUGGAACUCCUGGUGUAGCGGUGGAAUGCGCAGAUAUCAGGAAGAACACCGAUGGCGAAGGCAGUUCUCUGGGCCGUAACUGACGCUGAGGAGCGAAAGCGUGGGGAGCGAACAGGAUUAGAUACCCUGGUAGUCCACGCCGUAAACGUUGGGCGCUAGAUGUGGGGACCAUUCCACGGUUUCCGUGUCGCAGCUAACGCAUUAAGCGCCCCGCCUGGGGAGUACGGCCGCAAGGCUAAAACU